rnacentral:rRNA from 1 species
GACCACCGCUGGCGGCGUGUUCAACACAUCCAAGUCGAACCGAAAGGCCCUGCUGUUGUUUUGUUCUAGAGUGGCGAACGGGUUAGUAACACGUGAGUAACCUACCCUUGACUUUGAGAUAACUUCAGGGAACUGGGGCUAAUACCGGCUAGGAGCUCCUGCUUCAUGGUGGGUGUUGGAAAGUUUCGGCGGUUGUGGAUGGACUCGCGGCUUAUCAGCUUGUUGGUGGGGUAGUGGCUUACCAAGGCUUUGACGGGUAGCCGGCCUGAGAGGGUGACCGGCCACAUUGGGACUGAGAUACGGCCCAGACCCCUACGGGAGGCAGCAGUGGGGAAUAUUGCACAAUGGGCGGAAGCCUGAUGCAGCAACGCCGCGUGCGGGAUGAAGGCAUUCGGGUUGUAAACCGCUUUAGCCUGUGACGAAGCGUGAGUGACGGUAAUGGGUAAAGAAGCACCGGCUAACUACGUG